GAACUGACUAUUUUAUUCACUAAAAAUAUUCAUCAAUGGAAAACUUUGGUGUCUAUUCUAUUUUUCUCAUUACUUUCACUUAUGCUACGUUGAUAAUGACACAAAUACCCUCAACAAAUGGGGUUGUAUGUGAAACAGAACUUCAAGUUUCUUGUAAGGAUGGCAAUGUAUUAUAUUGUGGCUCUAUAUGUUAUGAAAAAUAUGGAGAAAAUUAUAUGACAACAGAGUGUGUGGAGAAAGUUGUUGGUAACCCUAUUUGUGUGUGUAUUUACAAGAGUGAGUAUGCUUGUCCACCAAACCAAAAAAAAUAUUAGAAAUUGUAUUUUUUUUGCAUAAAAAAAAUAUUAUUAUAUAAUAUAUAAAGAGUUGUUGAGAAAACCUCUUUUUUUUCAGUA